rnacentral:rRNA from 1 species
UGAGGAACAUGACCUUCGGCGGGGGAUAGCCUGCCCAACGGCCGGGUAAUACCGCGUACGACCACAUGGGGACAUCCCUGAGUGGUGAAAGCAGCAAUGCGCCGAUGGAGUGCCUCGCGGCCUAUCAGCUAGUUGGUGUGGUAACGGCUCACCAAGGCGACGACGGGUAGCUGGUCUGAGAGGAUGGCCAGCCACAGUUGGGACUGAGACCGACGGCCCAGAUCCCGUAACGGG